GACGAACGCUGGCGGCGUGCUUAACACAUGCCAGUCGAACGGAAAGGCCCUGCUUUUGUGGGGUGCUCGAGUGGCGAACGGGUGAGUAACACGUGAGUAACCUGCCCUUGACUUUGGGAUAACUUCAGGAAACUGGGGCUAAUACCGGAUAGGAGCUCCUGCUGCAUGGUGGGGGUUGGAAAGUUUCGGCGGUUGGGGAUGGACUCGCGGCUUAUCAGCUUGUUGGUGGGGUAGUGGCUUACCAAGGCUUUGACGGGUAGCCGGCCUGGGAGGGUGACCGGCCACAAUGGGACUGCGAGACGGACCAGACUCCUACGGGAGGCAGCAGUGGGGAACAUUGCACAAUGGGCGGAAGCGUGAUGCAGCAACGCCGCGUUCGGGAUGACGUCCUUCGGGUUGUAAACCGCUUUCGCCUGUGACGAAGCGUGAGUGACGGUAACGGGUAAAGAAGCACCGGCUAACUACGUG
rnacentral:rRNA from 1 species